AUUGACAACAGUCUGUUGUUUUGAAUCCACAG
rnacentral:piRNA from 1 species